AGGCAGCAGUGGGGAAUAUUGCGCAAUGGCCGAAAGCCUGACGCAGGAACGCCGUCUGCGGGAUGGAGGCCUUCGGUUUGUAAACCGCAUUCAGAGGUGACGAACACAGACGGUACCCACAGAAGUAGCCCCGGCCAAAUACGUGCCCGCAGCCGCGGUAACUCGUAGGGGGCCAGCGUUGUCCGGAUUUAUUGGGCGUAAAGAGCUGGUUGGCGGCUCGGUAAGUGAGGUGUGAAAAUUUCAGGCUCAACCUGGAGACGCCACAUCAUUCUGCCGUGUCUAGAGUCCUGUAGGGGAGCAUGGAAUUCCUGGUGUAGCGGUGAAAUGCGCAGAUAUCAGGAGGAACACCAGUGGCGAAGGCGGUGCUCUGGGCCGGAACUGACGCUGAGGCGCGAAAGCGUGGGGAGCAAACCAGGAUUAGAUACCCUGGUAG
rnacentral:rRNA from 1 species